UUAUAUGGUAACUCUUAUCUCUAUAUACUGUGUUAUUGUUUGCACAUCUUGACGUAUCCUCUUUCACACUACUCUUCUUCUUCUUCUUCUUCUUCUUCAUCAUCAUCAUCAUCAUCUUCCUCUUCCUCUUCCUCUUCCUCUUCCUCUUCCUCGUCCUCUUCCUCCUGCUCCUCCUCUUAAAUGCCUCCACCCAACAACAAACACCUUAUAUGCACCACUUUGUUCGUCGCGGCCGAACCCAUAUUUUUUAAUUCCAAAUUUAAUUCCAAGGUCUAAUUUGGGUAAUUCGAUGGAGAUUCUAGUGACUGGGUUCCACAAG
rnacentral:lncRNA from 1 species